rnacentral:lncRNA from 1 species
UUCGGAGGAGUUAGCGAAAUUCCAAUGUGUGCGGAUCGGCAAAAAAUGCAAACUAGCCCUUUAACCGUACAUUAUACAGAUACGCGCUCUAUGACUUUUUUGUAGAUCUUAUUGAGAUACACGUGAUUGUCAAAUAUUUUGUCAAUAUGACAAAGCGUUUAGGCGUGACACUCAACAAUGUGUAUUUUCAUGUUAGGGGACAAGAAAAACUUGACUUUUUUCUCCUGCCAUGGGGGGGCGCUCUUUUGGGGAGUAAAAAUUCCUUCACAAAUGUGUUGAUGGCUUGACAUGGCAUCAUCCUAGAAAACCUGGAGGCCAGUGAGGACAAAAAUAAAAAGUUAUAAGACUUUUAAGAAUGUGGAUUUUUGGGUUAUCUUUGGCGCCCCCUAGAACCUAAACCGUGGGGUGCAGCAUCAUGAUUUGUACAACUUUUAAUGGCCAUGGGGUGUAGAUUGGCCUGAGCAAAUGUGGUGCCGGUGGAACGAAAGCCUUCGGAGGAGUUAGCGAAAUUCCAAUGUGUGCGGAUCGGCAAAAAAUGCGAAAUAGCCCUUUAACGGUACAUUUGACAGAUACGCCUGCACUGACUUUUUUGUAGAUCUUAUUGAGAUACACAUGUGUGUCAAAUUUUGUGUCAUUUUGACAAAGUGUACAGGCGUCAGGUGAGUUUUCACCAUAGGGGGCGCUAUGCAGCCAUUUUUCAUUUUUUUGUUUGGGCGACUUCAGAAUAUCAAAUUUUUCACCAGGCCCGGUCGUCCUGCCAAAUUUCCUGAGUUUUCGCCAGUGGGAAGUGGGCCAUUUUCCAGUUUAAAGCGGAGGAAAAAUAACGAAAGAAGAAUCCAUCAGGAACAAGAGGGCUCUCGCAGCUGCUUAGCAGCUACGCUCGGGCCCUAACUAGGGCCCCGUUGGGGCACUGGCGGGCCCGAGCCGUGUCGCCCCCCCCCCCCCCCCAACGCGCUGCCUCCCCGUCCCAUUUGUGUCCUCUGGCCAUCGCCCUCUCUGGUAACGCCCAUCACUGCAAAGACCCUUUUCCUUCAUCGGCGUUUGCUGUUCUUCCUGCCAGUGCGUGUUGCUUUCACUUACACUUGCCACAGCCAGCCUCGUGAGUGCCUAGCCUAUUGGAUAUCACUGUCACCUACACAGGACAGUCAUUACCUUUCUAUUAAUACUUUGUGUUUUAAUUUCACAUUAAUUUCCAUAUUGUAUAAACGACUGGAAAAAACUUGAGCCCCUGCCCCUGUAUAAUCAUGUGCAUGUCUCUGUUCUAGCUCCAAGGUGAAUCUUCACUGCUCAUGUUCUCCUCAGAAGCACUCACCUCACUCCCCUCAGGUUACUGUACACAUGCACCAACUGCCAGCUUCAGGUUUGGAUGGAGCUUCAUGGUUGUCUUUUGGAGAAAUGAGCAGUCAAGUUGUGUUUGAAAUUUGAUUUUUUUCAGGGGCAAAAGGAGCCUCUGCAUUCUUGUCAAAUAUGUACAUAGCAUGUUUUUGCAGGUGCUAAAAACCAGACUCUGAGUGUGUGUGUGUGUGUGUGUGUGUGUGCGUGUGUGUGUGUCUGUGUGUGCGUUCAAGUCACAUGACAUAUUUAACCGGAUGUAGCUGCAAGACGGAGCCUCGUUGACUCUCCGUUUCAACUUAUCUCAAAAGUGAGGACCUCAACCUAUAUACCAGUUUUUAAAUUGUGUUGAUAGGCCAAAUAAAACCAGAGUUAUGAUAAAUUAUGUCUGCGAUACUUUUUUUCUGCUUAUUUUGAUCACGUUCGGCGCUCGAUCGCGCUGUAUGAGACAGGAAAACAUAGCAUGCAGACAUUAGCGACAGGUCUUACAGGCGGAAAAGGCUUGCCAAAAGAAAAAAAAAACACACCACAACAUCUCUCCUAUUGGUGGAAAACUUCACCACAACAACCAAUCCAAAAUUAUAUGGUGACUGAUUGACAAGGGGAGGGCGCUUACGUUCUUCCUGCAACAUGAGAAGGGAGGGAGGGACUCUCAGCAGGGAUGCAGUCUGGGACACGUAGUUGCAAACCUAGCGACUUUGUUGUUAGAUUCAAUGACUUUUCAGACCCCCUAACGACUUUUUUUUAGAAAGAAAGGGACUUUUAUCGACUUCUUCUGGAGUUUAGAGACUCUGACAUGAAGCAGGCUUUCCUUACUGAGGAGUUAGCAACGCUGCUAAGGGUGCAGAGCCACACAUGCGCUCAGAGCUCUGCAUGGGAGACUGAAGCUGACAGAGCUGCAGCAGUUAGCAGGUUUCACCCUCAGAGACCACCAGGGGUUCAUGUUGAGGCAUUUUAAUUUUUUUUUUUUUUUGUGCCAUAGACACUGUCAGCACAAUCUGCAGUUACACUAACAAAAAUGCUGCAAAAAACAAAGAAUUAUGGAAAAAUUACACAUGGACUGACAUAGAGGAGGAUCUACACAAGUUUUUUACAUCAUGUUUUACAUCAUGCAUCAUUUACAUCAUGUUUUUUUGUAGUGGCAUAAAUAAAAAGUGACAUUUGUGAGACUAUACAGUGUUUUGUAAAUAAUUUUACAAAGAACGCCUGGGCCAUUGCCUGCAUUUUGAUGUAAAUAGAGGUAAAUCACUAUGUUCUUUGUUAAAAAUUUGCAUAUGUUUUGAAGUUUACAAUUUUUAUUUGAAGUUUAAGUUUUAAAAACAGUUCAUCACACAUAUUUGUGGUUUAAUUUCACAUUAAUUUCCAUAUUGUAUAAAUGACUGGAAAAAACUUGAGCCCCUGCCCCUUUAUAAUCAUGUGCACGUCCCUGUUCUAGCUCCAAGGUGAAUCUUCACUGCUCAUGUUCUCCUCAGAAAUAGUCACUUCACUCCCCUCAGGUUACUGUACACAUGCACCAACUAUCUGCUUCAGGUUUGAAAUGGAGCUUCAUGGUUGUCUUUUGGAGAAAUGAACAGUCAAGUUGUGUUCGAAAUUUGAUUUUUUUCAGGGGCAAAAGGAAGCCUCUGCAUUCUUGUCAAAUAUGUAAACAGCAUGUUUUUGCAGGUGCUAAAAAACAGACUCUGAGUGUGUGUGUGUGUGUGUGUGUGUGUGUGUGUGUGUGUGUGUGUGUAUGUUGGCGUGUGUGUAUAUGUGUGUGUAUCCUGCAGUACUCUGUACUCCUGCAGUGGCCAAAAAGACUUUUAAGAAUGUGGAUUUUUGGGUCAUCUUUGGCGCCCCCUAGAACUGCAGUACUCUGUACUCCUGCAGUGGCCAAAAUGACUUUUAAGAAUGUGGAUUUUUGGGUCAUCUUUGGCGCCCCCUAGAACGUAAACCGUGGGGUGCAGCGUCAUGAUUUUUACAACUUUGAAUGGCCAUGGGGUGUAGAUUGGCCUGAGCAAAUUUGGUUUCAGUGGGACGAAAGACUUAGGAGGAGUUAGCCACAUUCCAAUGUGUGCGAAUCGGCCAAAAAUGCAAAAUAGCCCUCUAACCGUACAUUUGACAGAUACGCACCCAUUGACUUUUUCGUAGAUCUUAUUGAGAUACACGUGAUUGUCAAAUUUUGUGUCAAUAUGACAAAGCGUACAGGUGUCACACUCAACAAUGUGAAUUUUCACCUUACGGGACAAGAAAAAAUUGACUUUUUUCUCCUGCCAUGGGGGGGCGCUCUUUUGGGGAGUAAAAAUUCCUUCACAAAUGUGUUGAUGGCUGGACAUUGCAUCAUCCUAGAAAACUUGGAGGCCAGUGAGGACAAAAAUAAAAAGUUAUAAGACUUUGAAAUAUGUGGAUUUUAGGGUUAUCUUUGGCGCCCCCUAGAACCUAAACCGUGGGGUGCAGCGUCAUGAUAUGAAUAACUUUUAAUGGCCAUGGGGUGUAGAUUGGCCUGAGCAAAUGUGGUGCCGGUGGAACGAAAGCCUUCAGAGGAGUUAGCGAAAUUCCAAUGUGUGCGGAUCGCCAAAAAAUGCGGAAUAACCCUUUAACCAUACAUUUGACAGAUACGCGCGCAUUGACUUUUUCGUAGAUCUUAUUGAGAUACAUGUGUGUGUCAAAUUUUGUGUCAAUAUGACAAAGCGUACAGGCGUGACACUCAACAAUGUGUAUUUUCACCUUAGGGGACAAGAAAAAAUGGACUUUUUUCUCCUGCCAUGGGGGGGCGCUCUUUUGGGGAGUAAAAAUUCCUUCACAAAUGUGUUGAUGGCUGGACAUUGCAUCAUCCUAGAAAACUUGGAGGCCAGUGAGGGCAAAAAUAAAAAGUUAUAAGACUUUUAAAUAUGUGGAUCUUAGGGUUAUCUUUGGCGCACUUCCCACUGGCGAAAACUCAUGAAACUUGGCAGGACGACCGGGCCUGGUGAAAAAUUCGAUAUUCUGAAGUCGCCCAAACAAUAAAAUGCAAAAUGGCUCCAUAGCGCCCCCUAAGGUGGAAAUUCACACUAUUGACUGUCACGCCUGUACGCUUUGUCAUAUUGACACAAAAAUUGACACACAUAUGUAUCUCAAUAAGAUCUACAAAAAAGGCAGUGCGGGCGUAUUUGUCAAAUGUACGGUUAAAGGGUUAUUUAGCAUUUUUUGCCGAUCUGCACACAUUGGAAUUUCGCUAACUCCUCCGAAGGCUUUCGUUCCACCGGCACCACAUUUGCUCAGGCCAAUCUACACCCCAUGGCCAUUAAAAGUUAUUCAAAUCAUGACGCUGCACCCCACAGUUUAGGUUCUAGGGGGCGCCAAAAAUAACCCUAAAAUCCACAUAUUUAAAAGUCUUAUAACUUUUUAUUUUUGCCCUCACUGGCCUCCAAGUUUUCUAGGAUGAUGCAAUGUCCAGCCAUCAACA